AAUGUACUCUGAUAAUCAUAGCAGCAAACAGGUACAACAGAGUCACUGUUAAAAUGUACUCUGAUAAUCAUAGCAGCAAACAGGUACAACAGAGUCACUGUUAAAAUGUACUCUGAUAAUCAUAGCAGCAGACAGAUACCUGAUAUUUAUUCAAUGUCCUGGCAUAUGAUCAAGACCAACUUCAAAACCAGUGGUAUUGUCCACAAUACUUAUACGUCCGUGAUAUACAUAACUGCUGAACCUUUUCGUACAAGGAAAACACGAAGCUCCCAAGUACUUAUGGGCCGAAUUUCUGGUCGGUUUUAUGUUGUGUUGGAGAUCGGUAUCAUUAGUGUCAACUCUACAACAAGACUGCUCAUUUUAUUAUCAUGAUUAUAUUAGCAGAUGAUAAGUAACAGUAGGAAAAGCUUGUCUAUUGUAACAUUUAGUUGAAUAAUUUGAUAUUUUCACUCUGGCCAUCACGCGCAUUCAAAAUACGUAAAAUUCACUUGUAGACAAGGCAAGGCCAUUAGUGCUACAACUACUACUGAGUACUAUGUUUUACAUGGUGACUGUAAAGUGUAAACCGUACUACAACUUGCUUGGAAUGAUGUCAACAUUCUUUCUGAUUAAGUCAUUAUUCUAAGUUUGUCCCAAAACUUACUGUUCUUUGUUUCUUUUUUUAUAAUUACCGAAUAUGAAUUCAUCGUCCGAGCAGCAGGCCUAUCCUGACGAUGUAUCCACCCAAAUCCGAGUUGUAAACGCUUUCCGCAGUGGUAUUGACGUUCGCAAUAAUCCCGUUGCCCUAAAGAGACUCGCAGAGAAACGUUCUUCUUCUAUAUCCUCGGAAACCAUUGAAAGUACCCUUCGAAACAUCGAGAGAGAAGACUCGAAACGGGGCGUUAUUCAAACCAUCGAAGAGGAAGGGGAAACAUCGGAAAAGAAGAAAAAUGUAGAUAAUGCAGAUGGCGCGUCAAAUCACAGUGUUGAAACUGCAGUGUGAGAGGCCUAAACACACUAGACAUCCAGUCUAACCUUCGUAGGCCGGCUUUUUCUUGUGAUAAUAACGUGUGUAGUGAACAUAGGCCAAUUCAUGGUGUGGUUAUCAUUGGUUUGCAAGUAUUUAAAUUUAUAAAAAUCAAUGUGAAAAUCUCCACGAAUCUCAUCUUUCUUCUCUUUCCUGCUAUAGUGUUGGUGUUGCAUGCUAGGACUAACUUCAUUUCAUUUUAUUACAUGCUAGGACUAACUUCAUUUCUAUUUUAUUACAUGCUAGGACUAACUUCAUUUCCAUUUUAUUACAUGCUAGGACUAACUUCAUUUCAUUUUAUUACAUGCUAGGACUAACUUCAUUUCCAUUUUAUUACAUGCUAGGACUAGCUUCAUUUCCAUUUUAUGACGUAUUAUGUUUUUAGAAAGUACCAUUAAGUGCAUGUUUUCUAAGCGGGUUUUGUGAAACACGUGAUAACGAGCUAAAACCUUAUGUUUCCAGGUUUUACGAAGGAGAGGUAAUACUUACCUAAAUGAAGAAAAACGUCCUUAGUCCAUCUCCGGAAUGUUCAAAGUUUGUACCGUUUCAGGUUAUUUAAAUUAGAACGUAGAAGCAAACGUUUUUUUGCUUUUUCAUCGAAGUGUUUAAUGUAUUAUAAACAACUUUAAAAGGUAUUUCCGUAUUAUUGUGUGUGGUUUAGAUGUUGUUCACGAUUACAAAGUUGCACAAGAAAUGUUCUUAGCAGAAGCUAGUUUGGCAGGUAACUUAGCAUGUGAUGUCAUUUUUGUUUGUUAUCUUUUUCCGUGUUUUGUUACUUUUUCAAGUUUUAGCAUAUUCAAAAAACAACGAUUAACGUAGGCAGUUAGCUUACAAGUGAAAAGUCUAGGGGUGGGCUCCAUGACUGAAAAUGUUUGUGUGGUGAACGGUGUGCCUUUUACAGUGAAGUUUGGGAACUUACAAAAGGGAGAGAGGAAAUAUGCAUAAUCACUGGACCACAUGCCAAGGUGAGCCCUAGAAGAUUCAAGGAUAUGGUGCCGAAAUACACAUCGAUCUGCAUCACUAGAGGGCGCUACCCUCUCAUGAACAGAAACUCAUAUUGAAGGUGAUAUUUAAACACCUAGUUAGUAUUUGAUUGCGUGUUAUAUAUAUAUAUACACGCAUAAUUAUAUAUAUAUACAUAUUUACAUACAAAUUCGUGUGUCUUCAUGUUACUCAAGUACUCCCAUUAGAUAUCACCUCCCCCCCCCCCCUUUAAUUAGACGGAAAUAUUCAAAUUUACUUGCAGUAGUUAACUACGUGUACUGUUACAAUCACAAUUAACAUCUCGGCUCUUCUUACUAGCCAAAUGUAAUAAACCUAGCUGGUGUUGAUUAUAGGAGAUCCUUACAAGUUUACAAAUGUGUUCGUCUUCGGGAAGUUAAGUUCCUGAAAUUUAAUAUUCAUUCAAUAAUCAGAAAUAUAUAUAUACCGUUUCUGUGUGUGAUUAACAGUUUUGUUUUUUAGUUUCUAUAUUUGAAAAUCAGAUUUCGAUUUUAACAAAUUCCAACGAAAAUGAAACUCUAUCCUUUUCGUAUCACAUGUUGAGAAAUUCCAAUUUCAAAGAUAAAAGUUACGAUAGAGUAAAUUGUACGUUCAAUUCACUAAUUUCGUAAUACUUUUGAAACUUGGUGUUAAUUGUCUAGAAUUUGUCGAGAGUAAAUUUUCUUGGUCUUAGAGAUAUAUGGUUCUCAUACAGAAGAAUAACUUUGUACUAUCAAUCACGUGAUUUGUUACGACCGCUUCUUGUUCUUUAACCUACGUAUAAUUGUACCUUAAUGGAAAACUGUUGCGGAUGCCCUCUUGCGGAAAAAAAUGGAAACUAUUUAACAUCGGUUGAAAUAAUUAUGAAAAUUCGUCAUUCUUACCUUUCAAUAAAAUAUUAUGUACAAUUUAUUUAUGUUAUCAAACUUUACCAAAGUUUGUAAAGUGUGAACUUUAUGAUGUAAAAUUUGUGCUUCUUACUUCAUCAUUAAAUUAAAGCUAAAUAUGAAUUUCUUGUCCUUUAUGCUUUCCGCCAGAGGGCAUAUAAAAUUGCAUAAAUACGAUUAUACAUAGUUGGUUUUUUCUUGAAACAUUUACUGAUAUGUGUGUGUGAUUUUCCAAGUAUAAACGUGGUUUUAGUUUUUGUCUAACAAACUUAUCGUAUGUGGUAUUUGCGUAGAAGACAAGAGGCUAUCUUUAGAGUAUUUUAUCGAACUUGUGAUUCCCAGCAGUUCUGACCUGAUUUAAAAUCUUUUAGCUUAUGGAUUGUGACAGUGGUUACCAUUUCUUGUUGAACUAAUGGUGCAAUGAUUGUUACCGAUGAUGUACAUUUCCAUCCACGUCACAUAUGUUACUAAAUAAACUUGAAUUCCCAUCUCAG
rnacentral:lncRNA from 1 species